UUCUCUUACAAAAUUCAGCAUUUUGCACAUCCACCAUUUAUUUUUCUUUUUAUUUCACAUCUUUCCCAAAUGAUUGUUGAUUUUAUUAAUGCAAUUUGAAUUUGAAUAUGAACAAAGCACAUUGCAAGGAAACAACAAAGCACAUAAGCAAUGACAAGUUAACAAGGUUAAUGACGAAAAUACAAAUAAAUUAUGUCGGCUGAUCGCUUGGCUUAACCUUGUUGAGUGAAUCAUGUCAAUACCGUCAAACUGGCCGGCUGUUCGCGUGAGACCACCUUUAUGUAUCCACCUUGCUACGUUGCGUACUUGUGCUAACAAUUGGCUGUGAAUAUCUUGAACAGCUGACAUUUGUGAAGUGCUAAUUUCUUCCCCGCGUAAUUUGAAGUAAUAUUGUACAUAAAUUGGUUUUGUUUGAUAGAAUUGAACUUAGUGGCCAGAGGGAAAUUAAGGAGUUGGUGCAAAUUUCUUUGGUAAUUGGUCAAUUGCAUUCAAAUAAUGGAGGUGUGGAGGCCACCGUGGCGCAGGUUAGCAUGUCCACCUAUGGCGCCGAACGCAGGGGUUAAAAUCCCGGCGUUAACAUCAUAAAAGUUUUCAGAGGUGGUUUGUCCCUUACUAAUGCUGGCAACAUUUGUGAAGUAUUCUGCCAUGUUAAAUCUUCU
rnacentral:sRNA from 14 species